rnacentral:rRNA from 1 species
UGGGGAAUAUUGCGCAAUGGGGGAAACCCUGACGCAGCAACGCCGCGUGAAUGAAGAAGGCCUUAGGGUUGUAAAGUUCUGUUUACGGGGACGAUAAUGACGGUACCCGUGGAGGAAGCCACGGCUAACUACGUGCCAGCAGCCGCGGUAAUACGUAGGUGGCAAGCGUUGUCCGGAUUUACUGGGCGUAAAGGAUGCGUAGGCGGAUGUUUAAGUGAGAUGUGAAAUACCCGAGCUCAACUUGGGUGCUGCAUUUCAAACUGGAUAUCUAGAGUGCGGGAGAGGAAAGCGGAAUUCCUAGUGUAGCGGUGAAAUGCGUAGAGAUUAGGAAGAACACCAGUGGCGAAGGCGGCUUUCUGGACCGUAACUGACGCUGAGGCAUGAAAGCGUGGGGAGCAAACA